rnacentral:rRNA from 1 species
GUAAAGGGUCUGUAGGUGGUUUGUUAAGUCAGAUGUGAAAGCCCAGGGCUCAACCUUGGAACUGCAUUUGAUACUGGCAAACUAGAGUAUGGUAGAGGAAUGGGGAAUUUCUGGUGUAGCGGUGAAAUGCGUAGAGAUCAGAAGGAACACCAAUGGCGAAGGCAACAUUCUGGACCAAUACUGACACUGAGGGACGAAAGCGUGGGGAUCAAACAGGAUUAGAUACCCUGGUAGUCCACGCUGUAAACGAUGAGUACUAGCUGUUGGAUUCGGUGUAAAGGAUCUAGUGGCGUAGCUAACGCGUUAAGUACUCCGCCUGGGGACUACGGCCGCAAGGCUAAAACUCAAAGGAAUUGACGGGGACCCGCACAAGCGGUGGAGCAUGUGGUUUAAUUCGAUGCAACGCGAAGAACCUUACCUGGUCUUGACAUCCUGCGAACUUUCUAGAGAUAGAUUGGUGCCUUCGGGAACGCAGUGACAGGUGCUGCACGGCUGUCGUCAGCUCGUGUUGUGAAAUGUUGGGUUAAGUCCCGCAACGAGCGCAACCCCUAUUGAUAGUUACCAUCAUUAAGUUGGGUACUCUAUUGAGACUGCCGCUGACAAGGCGGAGGAAGGUGGGGACGACGUCAAGUCAUCAUGGCCCUUACGACCAGGGCUACACACGUGCUACAAUGGGUAUUACAGAGGGCAGCGAAGUAGCGAUAUGGAGCGAAACUCAGAAAGGUACUCUUAGUCCGGAUUGCAGUCUGCAACUCGACUGCAUGAAGUCGGAAUCGCUAGUAAUCGCAGGUCAGAAUACUGCGGUGAAUACGUUCCCGGGUCUUGUACA